GAUGAACGCUAGCUACAGGCUUAACACAUGCAAGUCGCGGGGCAGCAUGGGGGUUGCUUGCAAUCCCCGAUGGCGACCGGCGCACGGGUGAGUAACGCGUAUCCAACCUGCCCUUCACCACGGGAUAACCCGGCGAAAGUCGGACUAAUACCGUAUGUUGUCCAUUGACGGCAUCCGGUUUGGACGAAAGGUUUGGCGGUGAAGGAUGGGGAUGCGUCCGAUUAGCUGGACGGCGGGGUGACGGCCCACCGUGGCGACGAUCGGUAGGGGUUCUGAGAGGAAGGUCCCCCACACUGGAACUGAGACACGGUCCAGACUCCUACGGGAGGCAGCAGUGAGGAAUAUUGGUCAAUGGGCGUAAGCCUGAACCAGCCAAGUAGCGUGCAGGAUGACGGCCCUAUGGGUUGUAAACUGCUUUUAUGCGGGGAUAAAGUGGCCCACGUGUGGGUUUUUGCAGGUACCGCAUGAAUAAGGACCGGCUAAUUCCGUG
rnacentral:rRNA from 1 species